ensembl:snRNA U2 U2 spliceosomal RNA
AUCACUUCUCUGCCUUUUGGCUAAGAUCAAGUGUGGUAUCUGUUCUCAUCAAUUUAAUAUCUAAUACAUCCUCUAUCCCAGGACAAUAUAUUACAUGGAUUUUUGGAGUUGGGUGAUGGAAUAGCAGUUUGCUCCACCCACUCUGAGGAAACAAAA